rnacentral:rRNA from 1 species
AGGGGGAUAACUACUGGAAACGGUAGCUAAUACCGCAUAACGUCGCAAGACCAAAGAGGGGGACCUUCGGGCCUCUUGCCAUCGGAUGUGCCCAGAUGGGAUUAGCUAGUAGGUGGGGUAACGGCUCACCUAGGCGACGAUCCCUAGCUGGUCUGAGAGGAUGACCAGCCACACUGGAACUGAGACACGGUCCAGACUCCUACGGGAGGCAGCAGUGGGGAAUAUUGCACAAUGGGCGCAAGCCUGAUGCAGCCAUGCCGCGUGUAUGAAGAAGGCCUUCGGGUUGUAAAGUACUUUCAGCGGGGAGGAAGGGAGUAAAGUUAAUACCUUUGCUCAUUGACGUUACCCGCAGAAGAAGCACCGGCUAACUCCGUGCCAGCAGCCGCGGUAAUACGGAGGGUGCAAGCGUUAAUCGGAAUUACUGGGCGUAAAGCGCACGCAGGCGGUUUGUUAAGUCAGAUG